rnacentral:rRNA from 1 species
CCUACGGGAGGCAGCAGUGGGGGAUAUUGCACAAUGGACGAAAGCCUGAUGCAGCGACGCAGCGUGAGGGAAGACGGUCUUCGGAUUUUAAACCUCUGUCUUUGGGGAAGAAAAUGACGGUACCCAAAGGGUAAUCUCCGUCUAACUACGUGCCGGCGGCCGCGGUACUACGUAGGGAGCAAGCGUUGUCCGGAAUUACUGGGUGUAAAGGGAGCGUAGGCGGGAUGGCAAGUAGAAUGUUAAAUCCAUGGGCUCAACCGGUGGCUGCGUUUUAAACUGGCGUUCUUGAGUGAAGUAGAGGUAGGCGGAAUUCCUAGUGUAGCGGUGAAAUGCGUAGAUAUUAGGAGGAACACCAGUGGCGAAGGCGGCCUGCUGGGCUUUAACUGACGCUGAGGCUCGAAAGCGUGGGGAGCAAACAGGAUUAGAUACCCUAGUAGUC